UUCAGACUUCAAAGCGACUUAU
rnacentral:siRNA from 1 species